rnacentral:miRNA from 1 species
UAAUACUGCCUGGUAAUGGUGAUU